GAUCAUGGCUCAGGAUGAACGCUAGCUACAGGCUUAACACAUGCAAGUCGAGGGGCAGCAUGGAAGAAGCUUGCUUCUUCUGAUGGCGACCGGCGCACGGGUGCGUAACGCGUAUCAAACCUGCCUCAUACUCGGGGAUAGCCUUGCGAAAGUAAGAUUAAUACCCGAUGUUGUUAUGUUACCGCAUGGUGAUAUAACCAAAGAUUUAUCGGUAUGAGAUGGUGA
rnacentral:rRNA from 1 species